CCCUUAGAUGUUCUGGGCCGCACACGCGCUACACUGAAGGAGGCAGCGUGUACUCCUGGAUCGAAAGAUUUGGGUAACCCGCGAAUCUCCUUCGUGCUAGGGAUUGAGGUUUGCAAUUAUCCUUCAUGGACGAGGAAUUCCCAGUAAGUGCAAGUCAUAAGCUUGCGCUGACUACGUCCCUGCCCUUUGUACACACCGCCCGUCGCUACUACCGAUUGAAUGAUUUAGUGAGGACUUCGGACUGGGACCGAUGCGGCUUUCGGGCUGCGUCGGUAUUCUGGAAAGAUGUCCAAACUGUAUCAUUUAGAGGAAGUAAAAGUCGUANCA
rnacentral:rRNA from 1 species